rnacentral:misc_RNA from 1 species
GAAAUGCGAUAAUUAAUGUGAAUUGCAGAAUUCAGUGAAUCAUCGAGUCUUUGAACGCACAUUGCGCCCCCUGGUAUUACGGGGGGCAUGCCUGUCCGAGCGUCAUUGCUGCCCUCAAGCACGGCUUGUGUGUUGGGCUUCCGUCCCUGGCAACGGGGACGGGCCCAAAAGGCAGUGGCGGCACCAUGUCUGGUCCUCGAGCGUAUGGGGCUUUGUCACCCGCUCCCGUAGGUCCAGCUGGCAGCUAGCCUCGCAACCAAUCUUUUUAACCAGGUUGACAUCGGAUCAGGUAGGGAUACCCGCUGAACUUAAGC